rnacentral:rRNA from 1 species
CGCCUCUUGCAAAAUUAACAAAUAAGAGGUCCCGCCUGCCCUGUGACUAUACGUUUAACGGCCGCGGUAUUUUGACCGUGCAAAGGUAGCGCAAUCACUUGUCUUUUAAAUGGAGACCUGUAUGAAUGGCAUAACGAGGGCUUAACUGUCUCUUCUUUCAAGUCAAUGAAAUUGAUCUCCCCGUGCAGAAGCGGGGAUAUGUACAUAAGACGAGAAGACCCUGUGAAGCUUAAGGCACCAAGACAGACUAUGUUAAGUACCCUAGCCUAAUAGAUAAAACAACUUAUACCCUGCCCUAAUGCCUUCGGUUGGGGCGACCACGGGGAAAUGAAAAACCCCCAUGUAGAACGGGAAUACAAUUCCUACAACCCAGAGCCCCCGCUCUAAUAAACAGAACCUCUGACUAACAAGAUCCGGCAGCGCCGAUCAACGGACCAAGUUACUCCAGGGAUAACAGCGCAAUCCCCUUUUAGAGCCCAUAUCGACAAGGGGGUUUACGACCUCGAUGUUGGAUCAGGACAUCCUAAUGGUGCAGCCGCUAUUAAGGGUUCGUUUGUUCAACGAUUAAAGUCCU